UACGAAGGGUGCAAACGUUGCUCGGAAUUAUUGGGCGUAAAGCGCACGUAGGCGGCAUUGCACGUCCCAUGUGAAAGCCCACGGCUUAACCGUGGAAGUGCAUGGGAAACUGCAGUGCUUGAGUACUUAAGAGGAUCGCGGAAUUCCCGGUGUAGAGGUGAAAUUCGUAGAUAUCGGGAGGAACACCAGUGGCGAAGGCGGCGAUCUGGGAAGAUACUGACGCUGAGGUGCGAAAGCGUGGGGAGCGAACAGG
rnacentral:rRNA from 1 species